rnacentral:misc_RNA from 1 species
AAAAAUCACGUGAUCUAAAAAUGGAGGACAAAUUUUUUUUUUCAGAAUUUGUUUAGAUCCAGAUUUUAUUGAUAUCGACAGAAUGGUUCAACUGCUUGCCUUUGAAGGAGUGUAACAGACUGUAGUCAAAGACAAAGACUUGCUUAAAUCAAACUGCAAUUACUGUGUCAAAGUACAUGUAAGCAUUAGGUUUGAUUGACAUGCAGAAAAAGUUAUUUAGACCAUAGAUACAGUUCUUUGGCUUUACAAGUGAGAGAUGACUUCUUCAAAGGCAUCUAUAAUGAACCUUAUAGAGAGGCGUCUCAGUCUUGCCUUCAGAGAACUCAAUGAGAUGCCAGAUAACUUGGUACAAAAGCAUGGUCUUUACCUUGAGGAACUUGAUAUCAGUAACAACAAAAUCACAGAUUACAGGUUUUUGUUAGAACUGCCCAAGCUUACAACUCUUAUACUGGACAGCAAUGGACUGCAAUCUCAUGUAAAAUUCCCAACUCUCUCUACAUUAUCCACAUUGUGGGUGAACCAUAACAGAAUCAACAACUUGGGAGUAUUCAUAGGGACCAUCUCCAAAAGCUUCCCAAACCUCAAGUUUCUCAGUAUGAUGAACAAUGAGGCAGCCCCCAGCUACUUCAAUGGAGGUUCAUUUCAGCAAUACUCAGAUUACAGACAUUAUGUGAUAAGCAGACUUCCCAAGCUGGAAAUUUUAGAUGAUAAAGCAGUUGAGAUCAACGAGAGAGAGGAGGCUGAGAGAAUAUAUGGCAAACAUGUUGAGCAACCAGUUAUACAGGAGCAUAAAAGGAGAUCAAAGAAGAAGAAACAAACCCACAUUACUUGACCUUUUAUGUUUAUUUCUCACAAAGUGGAUCAAUGAACUCAUACUCUGCACUAGAAUGAUGAACUUGGAAUCUGCACUAGAAUGAUGAACUUGGAAUCUGCACUAGAAUGAUGAACUUGGACUCUGCACUAGAAUGAUGAACUUGGAAUCUGCACUAGAAUGAUGAACUUGGAAUCUGCACUA